rnacentral:misc_RNA from 1 species
GAUGAAGAACGCAGCGAAAUGCGAUAAGUAAUGCGAAUUGCAGAAUUCCAGUGAGUCAUCGAAUCUUUGAACGCACAUUGCGCCCUUUGGUAUUCCGAAGGGCAUGUCUGUUCGAGCGUCAUUAUCACCCCUCAAGCCCUCGGCUUGGUGUUGGACGGUUUGGUGGAGGCCCCCUCGGGGGCUCCUGCCCCUCCCAAAGACAAUGACGGCGGCCUCGUUGGACCCCCGGUACACUGAGUUCUUCACGGGACACGUAUCGGACACAUGGGUUUACGGGACACGGUCUGCCUCCCCUCAGGGAGAAUCUUUCUAAGGUUGACCUCGGAUCAGGUAGGGAUACCCGCUGAACUUAAGCAUAUCAAUAAGCGGAGGA